rnacentral:sRNA from 1 species
AGAAAAUACAUCAAUUAAUACAUAUUUUGUUGCCCAGCCCUGUGUGAUCCUUCUCUCUCUCUGCAGUAUGCAUAAUGCAUAGAAGCAUAGUGAAGACUUGGAAAAGACUUUCAGCAAAGGAAUUGUUUAAAAGUUGUUUUAUUUUUAAAAAGAAGAAAGAAAAGGCAGAAGUCUGGCAAGACCAGGACCACUUUCCCACCAGGCAGCAAUUGGCUGGAGCCAAGGAGCAGCUGUGCUCUAUAGACAAGUCAUGUGCCUCCUUGCCUGCUACAGGGCAGGCCCUUCCUGCUGCUCCUGCCUGGCCGCAGUCACUUAUUGGAGAAACAGAAGCCUAUCAGUUGCUGAAGAAGGCCACCCUUCAGGAUAAUACAAAUCAAACUGAAAACAGGUUUCAAAAGACAGAUGCUUCUGUGUCACACUUGUCAGGCAUGAAAACAAAAAGAAACCCGUGAUCAAUUUAAAAUCUAAUGGUAAGAGAGAUAAUCGGACACUAGAUUUUCUUUUUCUGUUUUAACCAAAAAACUCUGUGACAUGCA